rnacentral:rRNA from 1 species
UACGGGGGGGGCAAGCGUUGUUCGGAAUCACUGGGCGUAAAGCGCACGUAGGCGGAUUGUUAAGUCAGGGGUGAAAUCCUGGAGCUCAACUCCAGAACUGCCUUUGAUACUGGCGAUCUUGAGUCCGGGAGAGGUGAGUGGAACUGCGAGUGUAGAGGUGAAAAUUCGUAGAUAUUCGCAAGAACACCAGUGGCGAAGGCGGCUCACUGGCCCGGUACUGACGCUGAGGCACGAAAGCGUGGGGAGCAAACAGG